rnacentral:pre_miRNA from 1 species
AGGGAACAUGUCUGCUAAUUGUUCGAUACAGCACAAUUAGCGGAGAUGUUCCCUGC